rnacentral:rRNA from 1 species
AGAUUGAACGCUGGCGGCGUGCCUAACACAUGCAAGUCGAGCGGUAACAGGUGUAGCAAUACAUGCUGACGAGCGGCGAACGGGUGAGGUAAUGCUUCGGAAUCUACCUUAUGGUGGGGAAUAACUAGCCGAAAGGUUAGCUAAUACCGCAUACGUCCUACGGGAGAAAGCAGGGGAUCGCAAGACCUGCGCCAAAAGCUGAGCCGAAGUCGGAUAGCUAGUUGGAGGGUAACGGCCUACCGAAGGCGACGAUCCGUAGCUGGUCUGAGAGGACGACAGCCACGACUGGAACUGAGACACGGUCCAGACUCGUACGGAGCAGCAGUGGGAAUAGUGACAGGUCGGGGAAACCUGGAUCAGCGACGCGCGUGUGUAGACGAAGGUCGU